rnacentral:rRNA from 1 species
AAAUUGAACGCUGGCGGUAUGCUUAACACAUGCAAGUCGAACGGAAACGAUACUAGCUUGCUAGUAGGCGUCGAGUGGCGGACGGGUGAGUAACGCGUAGGAAUCUGCCUGAUAGUGGGGGAUAGCCCGAAGAAAUUCGGAUUAAUACCGCAUAAUCUAUUCGUAGUAAAGUGGGGGACUUUCGAGCCUCACGCUAUCAGAUGAGCCUGCGUAAGAUUAGCUUGUUGGUAGGGUAAAAGCCUACCAAGGCGACGAUCUUUAGCUGGUCUGAGAGGAUGAUCAGCCACAUCGGGACUGAGACACGGCCCGAACUCCUACGGGAGGCAGCAGUGGGGAAUAUUGGACAAUGGGGGCAACCCUGAUCCAGCAAUACCGCGUGUGUGAAGAAGGCCUGAGGGUUGUAAAGCACUUUCAAUUGUGAAGAAAAGUUAGCGGUUAAUAACCGUUAGCCUUGACGUUAACUUUAGAAGAAGCACCGGCUAACUCCGUGCCAGCAGCCGCGGUAAUACGGAGGGUGCAAGCGUUAAUCGGAAUUACUGGGCGUAAAGCGUGCGUAGGCGGUUUAUUAAGUCAGAUGUGAAAGCCCCGGGCUUAACCUGGGAACUGCAUUUGAAACUGGUCAACUAGAGUAUGGUAGAGGAAAGUGGAAUUUCUGGUGUAGCGGUGAAAUGCGUAGAUAUCAGAAGGAACAUCAAUGGCGAAGGCAGCUUUCUGGACCAAUACUGACGCUGAGGUACGAAAGCGUGGGUAGCAAACAGGAUUAGAUACCCUGGUAGUCCACGCCGUAAACGAUGAUAACUAGCCGUUGGGGGGAUUUACCCUUUAGUGGCGAAGCUAACGCGUUAAGUUAUCCGCCUGGGGAGUACGGCCGCAAGGUUAAAACUCAAAGGAAUUGACGGGGACCCGCACAAGCGGUGGAGCAUGUGGUUUAAUUCGAUGCAACGCGAAGAACCUUACCUGGUCUUGACAUCCUGCGAACUUUCUAGAAAUAGAUUGGUGCCUUCGGGAACGCAGUGACAGGUGCUGCAUGGCUGUCGUCAGCUCGUGUCGUGAGAUGUUGGGUUAAGUCCCGUAACGAGCGCAACCCCUAUCCUUAUUUGCCAGCACAUCAUGGUGGGAACUAUAAGGAGACUGCCGGUGAUAAACCGGAGGAAGGCGGGGACGACGUCAAGUCAUCAUGGCCCUUACGACCAGGGCUACACACGUGCUACAAUGGGAAGGACAAAGAGCCGCGAAGCCGCGAGGUGUAGCUAAUCUCAUAAACCUUUUCGUAGUCCGGAUUGGAGUCUGCAACUCGACUCCAUGAAGUCGGAAUCGCUAGUAAUCGUAGAUCAGAAUGCUACGGUGAAUACGUUCCCGGGUCUUGUACACACCGCC